CGCAKGCGCGUGCUACACAUGCAGUCGAACGGUGAAGCCCAGCUUGCUGGGUGGAUCAGUGGCGAACGGGUGAGUAACACGUGAGCAACCUGCCCCUGACUCUGGGAUAAGCGCUGGAAACGGCGUCUAAUACUGGAUACGAGUAGCGACCGCAUGGUCAGUUACUGGAAAGAUUUAUUGGUUGGGGAUGGGCUCGCGGCCUAUCAGCUUGUUGGUGAGGUAAUGGCUCACCAAGGCGUCGACGGGUAGCCGGCCUGAGAGGGUGACCGGCCACACUGGGACUGAGACACGGCCCAGACUCCUACGGGAGGCAGCAGUGGGGAAUAUUGCACAAUGGGCGCAAGCCUGAUGCAGCAACGCCGCGUGAGGGAUGACGGCCUUCGGGUUGUAAACCUCUUUUAGCAGGGAAGAAGCGAAAGUGACGGUACCUGCAGAAAAAGCGCCGGCUAACUACGUGCCAGCAGCCGCGGUAAUACGUAGGGCGCAAGCGUUAUCCGGAAUUAUUGGGCGUAAAGAGCUCGUAGGCGGUUUGUCGCGUCUGCUGUGAAAUCCGGAGGCUCAACCUCCGGCCUGCAGUGGGUACGGGCAGACUAGAGUGCGGUAGGGGAGAUUGGAAUUCCUGGUGUAGCGGUGGAAUGCGCAGAUAUCAGGAGGAACACCGAUGGCGAAGGCAGAUCUCUGGGCCGUAACUGACGCUGAGGAGCGAAAGGGUGGGGAGCAAACAGGCUUAGAUACCCUGGUAGUCCACCCCGUAAACGUUGGGAACUAGUUGUGGGGUCCAUUCCACGGAUUCCGUGACGCAGCUAACGCAUUAAGUUCCCCGCCUGGGGAGUACGGCCGCAAGGCUAAAACUCAAAGGAAUUGACGGGGACCCGCACAAGCGGCGGAGCAUGCGGAUUAAUUCGAUGCAACGCGAAGAACCUUACCAAGGCUUGACAUAUACGAGAACGGGCCAGAAAUGGUCAACUCUUUGGACACUCGUAAACAGGUGGUGCAUGGUUGUCGUCAGCUCGUGUCGUGAGAUGUUGGGUUAAGUCCCGCAACGAGCGCAACCCUCGUUCUAUGUUGCC
rnacentral:rRNA from 1 species